GCCCCGAUAGCUCAGCAGGCAGAGCGAUGGUUUCGUAAACCAUAGGUCGAGGGUUCAAUCCCCUCUCGGGGCUCCA
rnacentral:tRNA from 1 species